rnacentral:rRNA from 1 species
UACGUAGGGGGCAAGCGUUGUCCGGAAUUACUGGGCGUAAAGGGAGCGCAGGCGGUCUUUUAAGUAGGAUGUGAAAUACCCGGGCUUAACCUGGGGGGUGCAUCCUAAACUGGGGGACUUGAGUGCAGGAGAGGAAAGUGGAAUUCCUAGUGUAGCGGUGAAAUGCGUAGAUAUUAGGAGGAACACCAGUGGCGAAGGCGGCUAUCUGGACAGUAACUGACGCUGAGGCGCGAAAGCGUGGGGAGCAAACAGGAUUAGAUACCCGGGUAGUCCCUGAGCGGGCUGG